GUGGGGAAUCUUAGACAAUGGGCGCAAGCCUGAUCUAGCCAUGCCGCGUGAGCGAUGAAGGCCUUAGGGUUGUAAAGCUCUUUCGUGGGGGAAGAUAAUGACUGUACCCCAAGAAGAAGCCCCGGCUAACUCCGUGCCAGCAGCCGCGGUAAUACGGAGGGGGCUAGCGUUGCUCGGAUUUACUGGGCGUAAAGGGCGCGUAGGCGGACAUUUAAGUCAGGGGUGAAAUCCCGGGGCUCAACCUCGGAACUGCCUUUGAUACUGGGUGUCUUGAGUAUGAGAGAGGUGUGUGGAACUCCGAGUGUAGAGGUGAAAUUCGUAGAUAUUCGGAAGAACACCAGUGGCGAAGGCGGCUCACUGGCUCGAUACUGACGCUGAGGUGCGAAAGCGUGGGGAGCAAACAGGAUUAGAUACCCGUGUAGUCC
rnacentral:rRNA from 1 species